CCGGCGACGGGUGGACGGUAACGACGUGUGACUAACCUACCUAUCGAGGGAGGGGAAACCGGCGAAGUCGGACUAAUACCGCAUGAAGCAGGGGCCCCGCAUGGGGAUAUUUGCUAAAGAUUCAUCGCUGAUAGAUAGGCAUGCGUUCCAUUAGAUAGUAGGCGGGGUAACGGCCCACCUAGUCUUCGAUGGAUAGGGGUUCUGAGAGGAAGGUCCCCCACAUUGGAACUGAGACACGGUCCAA
rnacentral:rRNA from 1 species